rnacentral:rRNA from 1 species
AUGUCUUCUUCAAGCUCCCGCGCCACCUCACAGAAGCAGAGCCCAGCACGCGUGGAAAUGCCGAGCUUUGUCUGUCCGCGGUGCCGGGCGGGCGUUUAUCGGAGGGUUUCUCACACAUCGAAGAACCAUAAUCAUCCAUUCUACGUGUGCGGCAAGAAUGGGGUGAAAUGUUUCAUUCUUUGGGUCAAUGCUCUGGCCAAGACUCUGAUGAAUGAACUGCAAGAAGAGCAUGAAAGAUGGUUGCCAAUGCUGCCACGAAUGAUAGUGGCCGCAGCAUGAGCUCCGGAAGAAGAGACGGAGGGUGAAGCACGAAAUGACAGAGAGCUAGCUAUUGAGAUUAGGAUGUUGAAGAAGAAGGUUAGGAAGAUUGAAGAUCAAGCAUAAAUACCCAUUUGCAAUUACUUUUGGCCAUUUAUAGGUAUGGUAAUCGCACUGGGUGUAAUGUUGAAAUUGUAUGGAAAGGCAUGA